rnacentral:snRNA from 1 species
UAAAAGGGUGCUUGCCUCGUACACCUGUAUGGCACAUCCGAGCGGCGCCGGGUUGGUUGAAACCCAGCCAGGUGGCCGUUCCGGUGGGGUAUGGCCAUCAAGACAUAUCCAGCACGUAAUUUUUGUCCUUUGGAAGGCAGUUGACUCGCUACUUCUUGCGUCGGCGCCUUC